GUGGGGAAUAUUGGACAAUGGGCGCAAGCCUGAUCCAGCCAUACCGCGUGGGUGAAGAAGGCCUUCGGGUUGUAAAGCCCUUUUGUUGGGAAAGAAAUCCUGUCGGUUAAUACCUGGCGGGGAUGACGGUACCCAAAGAAUAAGCACCGGCUAACUUCGUGCCAGCAGCCGCGGUAAUACGAAGGGUGCAAGCGUUACUCGGAAUUACUGGGCGUAAGGCGUGCGUAGGUGGUGGUUUAAGUCCGUUGUGAAAGCCCUGGGCUCAACCUGGGAAUUGCAGUGGAUACUGGAUCACUAGAGUGUGGUAGAGGGAUGCGGAAUUUCUGGUGUAGCAGUGAAAUGCGUAGAGAUCAGAAGGAACAUCCGUGGCGAAGGCGGCAUCCUGGGCCAACACUGACACUGAGGCACGAAAGCGUGGGGAGCAAACAGGAUUAGAAACCCUUGUAGUCC
rnacentral:rRNA from 1 species